rnacentral:rRNA from 1 species
AGUGAACGCUGGCGGUAGGCCUAACACAUGCAAGUCGAACGGCAGCACAGUAAGAGCUUGCUCUUACGGGUGGCGAGUGGCGGACGGGUGAGGAAUACAUCGGAAUCUACUUUUUCGUGGGGGAUAACGUAGGGAAACUUACGCUAAUACCGCAUACGACCUACGGGUGAAAGCAGGGGAUCUUCGGACCUUGCGCGAUUGAAUGAGCCGAUGUCGGAUUAGCUAGUUGGCGGGGUAAAGGCCCACCAAGGCGACGAUCCGUAGCUGGUCUGAGAGGAUGAUCAGCCACACUGGAAAUGGGACACGGUCCAGACUCCUACGGGAGGCAGCAGUGGGGAAUAUUGGACAAUGGGCGCAAGCCUGAUCCAGCCAUACCGCGUGGGUGAAGAAGGCCUUCGGGUUGUAAAGCCCUUUUGUUGGGAAAGAAAAGCAGCAGGUUAAUACCCCGCUGUUCUGACGGUACCCAAAGAAUAAGCACCGGCUAACUUCGUG